GCGGAGGAAAAGAAACUAACAAGGAUUCCCCUAGUAACGGCGAGUGAAGAGGGAAGAGCUCAAAUUUUAANUCUGCCUUGUUCCAAGGUCGAGUUGUAAUUUGAAGAAGCGUUUUCUUGGGCUCGCGGCCGGUAGAAGUUCUUUGGAACAGGACAUCAUAGAGGGUGACAAUCCCGUCCGUGACCGGUCGUGCGUUCAUCUACGAUACGCUUUCAAAGAGUCGAGUUGUUUGGGAUUGCAGCUCCAAACGGGUGGUAAACAUCACCUAAGGCUAAAUAUUGGCGAGAGACCGAUAGCGAACAAGUACCGUGAGGGAAAGAUGAAAAGAACUUUGAAAAGAGAGUUAAACAGUACGUGAAAUUGUUGAAAGGGAAACGAUUGAAGUCAGUCGUGCUGGCGCGAAAUCAACCCUCUCGUCUUGAGAUCACAUGGCGCGACGAGCCUCAAAACCGUCACGAAGCGUGAACUCUUGACGAAAAGGUGCACUUUCGUGUCCGCUGGUUAACAUCAAUUUCGAACGUCAUAAAAAGGCUGGAGGGAUGUGGCUCCUUCGGGAGUGUUAUAACCUUUAGCGGAAUGUGGCGUUCGGGAUUGAGGAUUGCAACGAAUACCUUCAGGGCUGUUCCACCUGGCUUCUCAUUGGUAUCCUGGUGACGACAGCUUGCUGACGUCGUUAGGAUCAGCUUCUGAACAGGCUAGAGUGUGAGCAAAUUCGUUAAGGAUGUUAACGUAAUGGCUUUAAACGACCCGUCUUG
rnacentral:rRNA from 1 species